rnacentral:RNase_P_RNA from 1 species
UGAGCAAGCGAGACGGUCGCGCGGCGCUCUGGCGCCGUGAGGAAAGUCCGGGCUCCGCAGGGCAAGGGCGCCGGAUAACGUCCGGCGAGGGCGACCUUAGGGAAAGUGCAACAGAAACACACCGCCGAUGGGGUAUGGCUCUUUCGCGCAAGCGAAGAUGGCCGAGCCCACAGGUAAGGGUGAAAUGGUGCGGUAAGAGCGCACCGGCGUCAUGGAGACAUGGCGGCCGUGUAAACCCCGCCCGGAGCAAGGCAGAAGGGUAUGCCCGCCGCAAGGCGGGGGCUGCGGCCCGUGGCCACCCGGUAUGGUAUGCCGCAGGAGGACGCUUCGGCGUCCCGGAGGCGGGCGGCAACGUCCGUCCCAGAUAGAUGAUCGUCAACCACAGAACCCGGCUUAUUGCUUGCUCACAUC